GACAUGGAUAAAGAAGGAUUUUUCUUGAUUUUAGAUAGAUGUAACGGUUAACCCUCAUUGGCAAAGAAUGUGAACACUACACUUGGACAUACUUAUUUUUAUUUGGCAAUAGACCUUUAUUGUAUUUUUUGUGUUAGGAAUAUAAGUUCUUACGGUGCCCCGACUCCCUAUGCAGGUAUGGGUUGUUACUGCUCUUACCCAAU
rnacentral:lncRNA from 1 species